GAUGAACGCUGACAGAAUGCUUAACACAUGCAAGUCAACUGUGGCGGACGGGUGAGUAACGCGUAAAGAACUUGCCUCACAGCUAGGGACAACAUUUGGAAACGAAUGCUAAUACCUGAUACUGUGAGAGAGCUUUGCGUCCCAUUAGCUAGUUGGCGAGGUAACGGCUCACCAAGGCGAUGAUGGGUAGCCGGGCUGAGAGGGUGAUCGGCCACAAGGGGACGGAGGCACGGCCCUUACUCCUUCGGGGGGCAGCAGUGGGUAUUAUUGGACAAUAGACCAAAGUCUGAACCAGCAAUUCUGUGUGAACGAUGAAGUUUUCUGAAUGUAAAGUGCUUUCAGUUGGGAAGCGGUACCAACAGAAGAAGUGACGGCUAAAUACGUGCCAGCAGCCGCGGUAAUUC
rnacentral:rRNA from 1 species